CGGAAAUAGCUCAGUUGGUAGAGCAUCACCUUGCCAAGGUGGGGGUCGCGAGUUCGAGUCUCGUUUUCCGCUCCA
rnacentral:tRNA from 1 species